UGCCAAGGAAAGUAGAAGUCUGCUAAGGAGUGUUUAACAGCUCACCUGCCAAAUCAACUAGCCCUGAAAAUGGAUGGUGCUGGAGAGUCUGGCCCAUACCUGGCCAUCGCAAACUGGA